rnacentral:rRNA from 1 species
GUAGUCCACGCUGUAAACGUUGGGCACUAGGUGUGGGGGCCACCCGUGGUUUCUGCGCCGUAGCUAACGCUUUAAGUGCCCCGCCUGGGGAGUACGGCCGCAAGGCUAAAACUCAAAGGAAUUGACGGGGGCCCGCACAAGCGGCGGAGCAUGCGGAUUAAUUCGAUGCAACGCGAAGAACCUUACCAAGGCUUGACAUGCACGGCGGCACUGCAGAGAUGUGGUGGCAUUUAGUUGGUCGUGUGCAGGUGGUGCAUGGUUGUCGUCAGCUCGUGUCGUGAGAUGUUGGGUUAAGUCCCGCAACGAGCGCAACCCUUGCCCUAUGUUGCCAGCACGUGAUGGUGGGGACUCGUGGGGGACUGCCGGGGUUAACUCGGA